UACAGAGGGGGCGAGCGUUGUUCGGAAUUACUGGGCGUAAAGGGCGCGUAGGCGGCCAACUAAGUCAGACGUGAAAUCCCUCGGCUCAACCGGGGAACUGCGUCUGAUACUGGAUGGCUUGAAUUCGGGAGAGGGAUGCGGAAUUCCAGGUGUAGCGGUGAAAUGCGUAGAUAUCUGGAGGAACACCUGUGGCGAAGGCGGCCCCCUGGUUGGAUACUGACGCUGAUACGCGAAAGCGUGGGGAGCAAACAGG
rnacentral:rRNA from 1 species